UGAUAGUGAAUGCGGAGGAAGGGUUCGCCCAACAACACUUAUUUGACACUCCCUAAAUUCUCCCCCUGAUCUCUAAAAAAACAGACGGCGCUGGCGUUUUGGAGAUAAAGAAGACCAGCCGCACCGCCCUUGGGAGAUGUCACUCUGAGUAUGGAAGAGUCGUCACAAGGGUGAGUCUUCAGUGAAAGAGAGAUACGACAUCGGAGGAUCCAGCAUUUGACCUCUGCUAACGUCACUAACUCAUUUCUCAUGAAAGA